GCUGUGCCGGUUGGAACCGGCGUUCACGGAGUCGCCGGUGUCUGUUUCAGACGGCUCGUGUUGUGUUGCGAUUGGGUUGGAGUAUGGGUUGUGAUUUUUCCUGUUUAAAAACGCAAGCUGUAUCAUGUGAGUCCCCUUGAACAGUCACAUCCGCCAGGGAGGAUGCCUGCGCAACUUUCUGCUCUGCUUCUUGGUGUAGAAACGAUUCGAGAGUCCGAACGCCUCGUACCCGAUACCCGGUCAACGACUGCCGACAGCCACUGAGCUCCAGCCCCCUGUAGCUGUCCUUGCAAGAGGCUGUCAGGCUUCUUCAAACAAAUUCCGGAGCAAUAUUAGUGUCAUAUGUUGUUUUCGUUACCGCAGUCAUGCUGUAUACGUCUUGCUUUGUAUAACCGCAUGUCGCACAAUAAAAUACUUCAUGUGACAAAAACAA